ensembl:snoRNA
UUGCAUGUGGAAAAGUCUGCUCCUCAUUCUUUGGGGAGCAGGACUACAUCCAUUACAUGCUACAUUAAAAAAAAGGAGUUCUCAGGGCUGCCAACCUUACAGUAGAGGUUGAGUAGUAGUAUAUUUCUCCUACAUGU